GAUGAACGCUGGCGGCGUGCUUAACACAUGCAAGUCGAACGGAAAGGCCCAAGCUUGCUUGGGUACUCGAGUGGCGAACGGGUGAGUAACACGUGGGUGAUCUGCCCUGCACUUCGGGAUAAGCCUGGGAAACUGGGUCUAAUACCGGAUAGGACCACAUUUUGGAUGGUGUGGUGGAAAGUUUUUCGGUGUGGGAUGAGCUCGCGGCCUAUCAGCUUGUUGGUGGGGUAAUGGGCUACCAAGGCGUCGACGGGUAGCCGGCCUGAGAGGGUGUACGGCCACAUUGGGACUGAGAUACGGCCCAGACUCCUACGGGGGGCAGCAGUGGGGAAUAUUGCACAAUGGGCGCAAGCCUGAUGCAGCGACGCCGCGUGGGGGAUGACGGCCUUCGGGUUGUAAACUCCUUUCGCUAGGGACGAAGCGCAAGUGACGGUACCUGGAGAAGAAGCACCGGCUAACUACGUG
rnacentral:rRNA from 1 species